GAUGAACGCUGGCGGCGUGCCUAAUACAUGCAAGUCGAGCGAACAGACGAGGAGCUUGCUCCUCUGACGUUAGCGGCGGACGGGUGAGUAACACGUGGAUAACCUACCUAUAAGACUGGGAUAACUUCGGGAAACCGGAGCUAAUACCGGAUAAUAUAUUGAACCGCAUGGUUCAAUAGUGAAAGACGGUUUUGCUGUCACUUAUAGAUGGAUCCGCGCCGCAUUAGCUAGUUGGUAAGGUAACGGCUUACCAAGGCAACGAUGCGUAGCCGACCUGAGAGGGUGAUCGGCCACACUGGAACUGAGACACGGUCCAGACUCCUACGGGAGGCAGCAGUAGGGAAUCUUCCGAAAUGGGCGAAAGCCUGACGGAGCAACGCCGCGUGAGUGAUGAAGGUCUUCGGAUCGUAAAACUCUGUUAUUAGGGAAGAACAAAUGUGUAAGUAACUAUGCACGUCUUGACGGUACCUAAUCAGAAAGCCACGGAUAACUACGUG
rnacentral:rRNA from 1 species